rnacentral:rRNA from 1 species
CUCCUAGGGGAGGCAGAGUGGGGAAUAUUGCACAAUGGGGGAAACCCUGAUGCAGCGACGCCGCGUGGAGGAAGAAGGUCUUCGGAUUGUAAACUCCUGUCCCAGGGGACGAUAAUGACGGUACCCUGGGAGGAAGCACCGGCUAACUACGUGCCAGCAGCCGCGGUAAAACGUAGGGUGCAAGCGUUGUCCGGAAUUACUGGGUGUAAAGGGAGCGCAGGCGGAUUGGCAAGUUGGGAGUGAAAUCUAUGGGCUCAACCCAUAAAUUGCUUUCAAAACUGUCAGUCUUGAGUGGUGUAGAGGUAGGCGGAAUUCCCGGUGUAGCGGUGGAAUGCGUAGAUAUCGGGAGGAACACCAGUGGCGAAGGCGGCCUACUGGGCACUAACUGACGCUGAGGCUCGAAAGCAUGGGUAGCAAACAGGAUUAGAUACCCUGGUAGUCCAUGCCGUAAACGAUGAUUACUAGGUGUGGGAGGAUUGACCCCUUCCGUGCCGCAGUUAACACAAUAAGUAAUCCACCUGGGGAGUACGACCGCAAGGUUGAAACUCAAAGGAAUUGACGGGGGCCCGCACAAGCAGUGGAGUAUGUGGUUUAAUUCGAAGCAACGCGAAGAACCUUACCAGGUCUUGACAUCGGAUGCAUACCUAAGAGAUUAGGGAAGUCUUCGGGACAUCCAGACAGGUGGUGCAUGGUUGUCGUCAGCUCGUGUCGUGAGAUGUUGGGUUAAGUCCCGCAACGAGCGCAACCCUUAUCGUUAGUUACUACGCAAGAGGACUCUAGCGAGACUGCCGUUGACAAAACGGAGGAAGGUGGGGAUGACGUCAAAUCAUCAUGCCCUUUAUGACCUGGGCUACACACGUACUACAAUGGCUAUUAACAGAGAGAAGCGAUACCGCGAGGUGGAGCAAACCUCACAAAAAUAGUCUCAGUUCGGAUCGCAGGCUGCAACCCGCCUGCGUGAAGCCGGAAUUGCUAGUAAUCGCGGAUCAGCAUGCCGCGGUGAAUACGUUCCCGGGCCUUGUACACACCGC